AUGAUCUUACUCACAUUCAGCACUGGAAGACGGUUGGAUUUCGUGCAUCAUUCGGGGGUGUUUUUCUUGCAAACCUUGCUUUGGAUUUUAUGUGCUACAGUCUGCGGAACGGAGCAGUAUUUCAAUGUGGAGGUUUGGUUACAAAAGUACGGCUACCUUCCACCGACUGACCCCAGAAUGUCAGUGCUGCGCUCUGCAGAGACCAUGCAGUCUGCCCUAGCUGCCAUGCAGCAGUUCUAUGGCAUUAACAUGACAGGAAAAGUGGACAGAAACACAAUUGACUGGAUGAAGAAGCCCCGAUGCGGUGUACCUGACCAGACAAGAGGUAGCUCCAAAUUUCAUAUUCGUCGAAAGCGAUAUGCAUUGACAGGACAGAAAUGGCAGCACAAGCACAUCACUUACAGUAUAAAGAACGUAACUCCAAAAGUAGGAGACCCUGAGACUCGUAAAGCUAUUCGCCGUGCCUUUGAUGUGUGGCAGAAUGUAACUCCUCUGACAUUUGAAGAAGUUCCCUACAGUGAAUUAGAAAAUGGCAAACGUGAUGUGGAUAUAACCAUUAUUUUUGCAUCUGGUUUCCAUGGGGACAGUUCUCCCUUUGAUGGAGAGGGAGGAUUUUUGGCACAUGCCUACUUCCCUGGACCAGGAAUUGGAGGAGAUACCCAUUUUGACUCAGAUGAGCCAUGGACACUAGGAAAUCCUAAUCAUGAUGGAAAUGACUUAUUUCUUGUAGCAGUUCAUGAACUGGGACAUGCUCUGGGAUUGGAGCAUUCCAAUGACCCCACUGCCAUCAUGGCUCCAUUUUACCAGUACAUGGAAACAGACAACUUCAAACUACCUAAUGAUGAUUUACAGGGCAUCCAGAAGAUAUAUGGUCCACCUGACAAGAUUCCUCCACCUACAAGACCUCUACCGACAGUGCCCCCACACCGCUCUAUUCCUCCGGCUGACCCAAGGAAAAAUGACAGGCCAAAACCUCCUCGGCCUCCAACCGGCAGACCCUCCUAUCCCGGAGCCAAACCCAACAUCUGUGAUGGGAACUUUAACACUCUAGCUAUUCUUCGUCGUGAGAUGUUUGUUUUCAAGGACCAGUGGUUUUGGCGAGUGAGAAACAACAGGGUGAUGGAUGGAUACCCAAUGCAAAUUACUUACUUCUGGCGGGGCUUGCCUCCUAGUAUCGAUGCAGUUUAUGAAAAUAGCGACGGGAAUUUUGUGUUCUUUAAAGUGAAGGGAGACACUGUAUCUAUAAUCCAAGAUGGUUGGCUCUACAAAUACCAUUGGAAAUGGAUUCUAGAACAAAGGCAGUCAGUGCCUGUGCUCUCAAGACAAACUGAAAAGCACAAGACCUAUGAAGAAUUAUCUCCCAUCACAUACUAACAAAGAACAAUCAGGAAUUGAAAAUUUAAAAUAAAAGGCCAUUUACAAUUGCAUUCAAAAACACCAAAUACUGAGGGAUCAAUCUGCAAAAAAAUGUGCAUGACCUCUACGUUGAAAACAACAAAACACUGCUAAAUG
rnacentral:sRNA from 1 species